UACGUAGGGGGCGAGCGUUGUCCGGAAUUAUUGGGCGUAAAGAGCUCGUAGGCGGCCUGUUGCGUCCGCUGUGAAAGCCCGGGGCUUAACCCCGGGUCGGCAGUGGAUACGGGCAGGCUAGAGGUAGGUAGGGGAGAAUGGAAUUCCCGGUGUAGCGGUGAAAUGCGCAGAUAUCGGGAGGAACACCGGUGGCGAAGGCGGUUCUCUGGGCCUUACCUGACGCUGAGGAGCGAAAGCGUGGGGAGCGAACAGG
rnacentral:rRNA from 1 species